rnacentral:rRNA from 1 species
AUGAAUCUGACCCGCUUGUGCUCCGUUCGCCCAUUGACUGGUGUCAGAUGGCGGAUCUGUAGGGAACUCAGUUGGGGAUGUGCCACCACCAAGGUCAUCAUCACCGAGGGAUUCCACGCGCAGCAUGCGCCCCACCGCGACGAUGCGGCCGUGAGUACGAAAUCUAGGACGUCAGGAGGUGGCCGACUCUCUGGCGAGAGAAUCACGGCAUGGCGGGGGAGCUCCUCCUGUCGGGCCCAUCGGGGGAGACGACAUGGCGGGGGAGAUCCUCCUGUCCGGCCCAUCGGGGGAGACGGCAUGGCGGGGGAUCCCCUCUGGCGCUAUUGUGCAGGGAGAGACAGCGUCACCGUGUUCGGGCCCGUGGUGCGGGGGAUGCGGUGGUGGAGAUCGAGAAAGAAUACAUGA